UCGUAGUUCGCCGGCAGUAGGCGACGAGCCGCCGGCUUGGGAGCGCGUCUUUCUGUGACCGUGGCUCGUCGUGCCUGCAGUGAGCUAUACCUCGGCGUGUGACGAGUGCGCGCGAUUUUGCGGGCACUGCGUGGUUGUGCCAUACUGCCUCGCGAAACGCGAGAGCCGUGCCCUUUUAUAAGUGUCGUGUGCGAAGGUGCCGAGCAAGCUACCUCCAACGAGCCGCCGCUACCGGCGUUCUGCUUGCCGAAGGAAGAGAGCCGCCGUCACAGGAUGGUCACGGGCAACGCCGUAGAACUGAUACGGUGUGAUGAGCUCUACGGCGAUCAGAGAGUAAUCGAGAUGCAGCUGGCGUACGCUUACGGGAUCUUCCUGUCACUGACACCCCGUUACUGCUGAGGUAGACUGGACCGAGUACAGUGGGUGUAAUCCAACCAUGGAUCCAGAAUCGAAGCGAAGUAAUUGCACUGUAUUUUUUCAGUGGUCCACUUAUGGAGGCGUAAACUGUCCUUUCAGCAUCAAGACGUUAACUUGGCUUCCAGCCUGCUACAAAGGGCUAGAGCAGCAGCCGUUUAUGCUCGAGCUAAAUAAUCUGACUAUAGAGUCUGUAAUUUUGAGAUGGGGCAACCCAAGUAUUAAGAAAGAAAAGAAGCUAUUGA